GCGAGCAGGAUUCAGACACCAGGAACCCUCCGGUCCCACUGGCCACGUGCUCAGGGCUGGGUAAUUUCCUCCCGCUCAAGGGUAGGAACAUACCUGCGCUUAAAACUGAGGCUGCCGCACCUCCGCAGACGUAGACAACGAAUUCCUGGAGCCCAAGGUCGGCCGGGGUUGGGUUCCUGUCGCCGCACGCGUGGCCCGCCCGAAACCCGCUACAAAGUAGCGGCGUGUCUGCCCUAGGGAGGCAAAGCGCAAACUUGUUACCGCGCCGGGACCUGCCCCGGGAUUCUCCCAGCGGCUCCGCAGGACGCAGCGCCUGUGCCUCGCGCGGCCCUGGGACGGGCACGGCCGUCCGCCCCCUGGGCCGCCGAGGGCUGCUUUACCCCUCCGUUCUGGCCGCGGGCAGCAGAGGAGCUCGGGGCGGGCAAAGCUCGAGGGGACACGGGGCGAGCCCAGACCCUGCCUGGGAGCCCUCCCCGCCGGAGACCAAAGGGCAGAAACGCACUCACAGUGCAACUCCGAGGGAUAAACUGGCCGACGAUCGCCGCCAGGCCAGAAGACCAAGAAGAAGGCUCGCGGCGGGAACUGAAGUAUUCAGCACGCCUUCAUCAGGUGUGUACUCUGUGCCAGGCAAUCUUCUAAUCCUUAAAUGGACGAAACAAAGGCCUCCCUUGGACUGACAUUUUUAAUGAAGAAUAAAAACCCAUAAUGAAAUAUAAAAAUAUUAACGUUAUAAGAGCUAAGGGAAAAAACAUGUGUUACAACUUGAAAAUACAAAAAUAGGAAAUCAUCUUUCUCUGUGGACGAAUGAAACCCCUGAUUCUAAGAAACAAAGAAACAAAACUCAUCAUGACUGGUGUUCUGUACUCUUUGGAAAAUACGUUUUACUGUAGAAAUGACUAAAUGCGAUGAAAGACUCUUUACCAGAAGCAGUGGCUGGUUGGCGGCGCCUGUACGCCUGAGGAGCACCCUUUUUGUGUCCAUGUUUGAUAAAGCAGAAGAGACCUAAAGAGACAAGGGGCGGCCGGGCGCGGUGGCUCACUCCUGUAAUCCCAGCACUUUGGGAGGCCGAGGCGGGCAGAUCAUCUGAGAUCGGGAGUUCGAGACCAGCCUGACCAACAUGGAGAAACCCCGUCUAUACUAAAAAUACACAAUUAACCGGUUAUAGUGGCGCAUGCCUGUAAUGCCAGCUACUUGGGAGGCUGAAGCAGGAAAAUCGCUUGAGGCAGAGGUUGCGGUGAACCGAGACUGCGCUAUUGCACUCCAGCGGGCAACAAGAGCCAAACUCUGUCUCAAAAACAAACAAACAAACAAACAAACAAAAAAAAAACCACAAGGGCCAUCGCUCUGGGGCGUGGGACAUAUGGUCCGCAGUUGGGAUACUAACUGUUGUAUGGAUGGGGGAGUGGUCCUCAAACCCUGGAGCUUCUCAGUCCCUGCCUCUUUCAACCUCUAAAUGGGCCCACUGCUUUUCCCUUCCCACUGUUCUGCCGGCUGGAGCACCCCCAGCACCAGCAGCGCGGCUCCCACGCCUCUGGUCUGGGCUCUGCCAGCCCCACGGGUCUAAGCUCUCCCCAGGCCAUUAUUUUUUGUCUCCUCUUUCUUCAUUGAGGUCCUCUCUCUGUCACUUGCUCUUUUGCCUGGCUCAAGACAUGGGUUUAAACACUGUUUAUACUACCCCUUGCUAAUGUUGACUCACUACCCCAUAUCUUUUUCUUUUUUCUUUUUUUUUCCAAGUAGCACUCUUUGAGAUGUCCUUUUAUUGAUGUUUCUUUACACGUUGUUUUUACAUGCAUUACAGUGUGAUGAACAUAUCCAUCCACUGAAAUAACAUUAUUCUCAACUACGCAAAAGAAAGCAAUACUCUUAGAAGAAUCCUUUCUGCAUAUGUCUUUAGACACUUUUACAUUCAUAACACUGGUCACCAACCCAUUUCUAUGUUUAAGUAACUUGACUUUUUCUCCUUCUCCCUUUCUCUACCUAUUAAAUUCACAUUUUAUUUUACCCCAAGCUACUUUUACCUAGUACAGUGUCUAUGUUUUUCACUGUAAGAUUGAGUAAGGCCAGAGAUGAGGAGAAUAGUGAUUGUGAAAUAAAAUGAAAGAUAUACUCAAUUCUUGGGAGCAAUA
rnacentral:lncRNA from 1 species